UGUAAAUGCCCAGCAAGGUUCCUCACAUUAUCACAGAAAAAUUUCUUGUGGAGAAGGUCUACUAGGUCUACUUCUUGUAUCAAUUCUUUGGGUGUGCAUUUAUUUUGUGAUUGUAUGAUCUUGGUUCAAAUAUUUCUUUUCAUGUUUGAAUUGGUUCUUCGUCCAAAUUUGUGAAAGCUUAUCUAGUGUAGUUUCACAUAGUGUUGUUUGUUCCAAAGUAACCGGGAUACUUUGAUGAAAGUAGAGCAUGAUUAAUCAGAAGGACAUUAUCUCCAUUGAACAUAUUGGUGGUGGUUGUAUGCGAAUCUAAGUGACUUUGAGCCUCUUUGGAAUAGCUUAUUUUAAGUUAAAAUUACAAUGACUAAAAUAGUCCAAAAGCCAACGAAUUACAUGAAGAAGUUACAACUUGCACAUCCUGUUGGUUGGCUGGCUAUUACAGAUUACAUGGCUAUUUCAACCAGAUCUGCACUUCUCUAUAUGCCUACGAGAUGGAUGCAUAUCCCCUUGGCAUGAUAAAGCUAAAUGAGAGCAUAAAUAUCUUCUAAGGGAUAAUGAUACUUUUAUUUCAUGUCAUCCUAGUUUUGUUCUCAAAAUGCAGGUUAUAUGGGUUCCUGGCUGUUUUGAAAUUGGCGUGGCUGCACAGCAUCUUGGAAAGUCACAGAAGUAUCAAGAAAUACUCUACAUUGGGGCUUCAAGAUUACUACCCUAUCUACCUAAUUUGUUGUAGUUAAAGGUUACCAACCAACCUGCCUCGAAACAUCAUAGGUUUGUAUAAAAAUGAAUCAACAAGAACCUUCAAAAAGUAAUAAAAGAGUAGGGAAUAGGACAUUUAGUAAACCUGGAUCAGUAUCAGCCAUGGCAAAUAGAAAGUGACGUAUGCUGACAACAAAGGAAAUUGUUCAAGCUACACGAUCGGAGAAAGGGAAUCUUCUAAAGUUAAUUGAACAAGAGCACCACAAUAGCACCACCAGUACCACCAUCUAGACAAACUGAAUAGUCAGCAGUAGAGCACCUUGUUGUAGAGGAGUAGCAUGCAGAAGAUAAGCAACAUGUAGAGGAUCAGGUCCAAAUGACAGAUUCAGUCACUCCUACAACAACUGAACAUUUUGAAGCGCAAGGUAAUAUAUAGCUUAGAAAUUUAUUGAAUUCAUUCAUGACCUCUAAUUUCUUCUAUUUUCUUAUAGAUGAAGGGCCUUUAACUAGAAAAACAAGAUGCAAAACACAAAUGCACAAGGUACAUGGCUGGCAAAAGAAAAAAUUGAUCACAUUAAACCAGAACAACCAACCUUUUGGUCCCACGGAUGAAGUUAUAACUGAUUUGGGAACCUUCUUAGGCACAUUAGAAAGGAAAGCAACACUUUUCCCAUUAGAUAGAUUUAAUUGGAGGCAUAUGGAUACCAAACAGGAGUUUAUGGGAGUAUACCUAGGUAAAAUAUGAUAUUCUUGAUGGUACAAAACAUUGGAUUUUGGAAAGAAUUCGAGAAUCUUAGAGAAAGCAUAGAAAUAAUUUGAAGAUAGAUUAUUACGAUCAAUAUGAUGAUGAUGUUGUUCGAUUGAAGAAAAAGCCCAAUAGUGUUCCAGAAUGUCAAUUUUAAAGAACUCCUCGUGUAUUGGAAGUCCGAAAAAUUCUAGAAAAUGUCCAAAAUCAAUACUAAGAAUCGAAAGAAGCUGAUGAAUCUACACACUACUGGAAGAAGAGUUUUGCUUUAGUUCACAAUAAAUUGAAAAAUGAGAAGGGGGAAACUUUGUCUCUAAAGGAGAUGUUUGUGGUCACAAGAGCAAGAAAACCUAAUCGUACAUACAAGUUGUCUAAUGAGGACAUCACUGGUAAAAUUGCUCAAAUAAAGGAAAUAGAAACACAACAGGGAGCAAAUGAACAACCCGUUGAUGUAUUUUCAGCCGUCAUGGGUAUUGAACAUCUAGGAUGUGUAAGACUGCUUAGGAGGGGGGGUUACAAAGACUUCUUUGAAAAGAUUAAAUGGCAUCUCUGGACAAACUUUAAAUUCCACAAAUGAUGUUGUGCAACAAAUACAAGAAAGAAUGCAAAAAAUGGAGGAUCAAAUCGAGGAGCAAAAGAGAAACAUUCCACAAAAAGUUGUUGUAGAUGUAAUUGCUCAACUUUAGAAUAAAGGAAUAAUUGAUUCUAAGAUACUAUCAGAAUUAUCUAUUCCUUCACCAACAGAAUCGACUUCUACACUAGCAUCCAGUCAAAAAAGUCAAGGUGAUCAUGACAUAGAAAAUGGUGGGAACGAAAUUAAUGAACUAUACUUGACCUAAGAGAUCGAUCCAUUGGCUUCAUGUCACACUAGUUGUUGGAAAAACUUGUGUAUGUUUUGAUUGAGAUUGAACACAUUUGACCAAGUAUAUAUACGAAGUUUCAAACAUCUUUUAUUUUUGAACAUUCAAAACUUGUGUAUGUUUUAAUUUUUUUGUGUGGUCAAAAAAUAUUUGGUUUCUUAUUGG